GAGCCCAAGAUUGAAAGCUGGCGCCUUCGGCGUCCGCAUUGUAAUCUCAAGAAGUGUUUUCCGCUUCGGACCAUGCCUAAGUCCCUUGGAAAAGGGCAUCAUAGAGGGUGAUAAUCCCGUACAUGGCAUGGAGCGCCCGAAGCUUUGUGAUACGCUUUCUAAGAGUCGAGUUGUUUGGGAAUGCAGCUCAAAAUGGGUGGUAAAUGCCAUCUAAGGCUAAAUAUUGGGGAGAGACCGAUAGCGAACAAGUACAGUGAUGGAAAGAUGAAAAGAACUUUGAAAAGAGAGUUAAACAGUACGUGAAAUUGCCAAAAGGGAAGGGUAGGAGGUCAGAGAUGCGUUCUAGGAUUCAGCCUUGCUUUUGCAUGGUGUUUUUUCUAGUUUGCAGGCCAACGUCGGUUUUGGGCACUGGAGAAGGGUGGAAGGAAUGUGGCACCUCUCGGGGUGUGUUAUAGCCUUCUACUGGAUACAGCGACCGAGACCGAGGACAGCAGCGUACUCGCAAGAGCGGGCCUUCGGGCACCUUUACGCUUAGGGCGUUGGCAUAAUGGCCCUCUACCACCCGUCU
rnacentral:rRNA from 1 species